GACGAACGCUGGCGGCGUGCUUAACACAUGCAAGUCGAACGGAAAGGCCUUUUCGGAGGUACUCGAGUGGCGAACGGGUGAGUAACACGUGGGUGAUCUGCCCUGCACUCUGGGAUAAGCCUGGGAAACUGGGUCUAAUACCGGAUAGGACCGCACUUUAGUGUGUGUGGUGGAAAGUUUUUUCGGUGUAGGAUGAGCCCGCGGCCUAUCAGCUUGUUGGUGGGGUAAUGGCCUACCAAGGCGGCGACGGGUAGCCGGACUGAGAGGUUGGUCGGCCACAUUGGGACUGAGAUACGGCCCAGACUCCUACGGGAGGCAGCAGUGGGGAAUAUUGCACAAUGGGCGCAAGCCUGAUGCAGCGACGCCGCGUGGGGGAUGACGGCCUUCGGGUUGUAAACUCCUUUCGCCAGGGACGAAGCGUUUUGUGACGGUACCUGGGGAAGAAGCACCGGCUAACUACGUG
rnacentral:rRNA from 1 species